rnacentral:rRNA from 1 species
CUUUGACCCUAGUACGAGAGGACCGGGUUGAACGUACCUAUUGUGCACCUGUUGUUGUGCCAACAGCCUAGCAGGGUAGCGAAGUACGGAUGAGAUAAACGCUGAAAGCAUCUAAGCGUGAAACUUACCACAAGAUAAGAUAUCCCAUAUCAUAAGAUAGUAAGACCCCUUGAAGACCACAAGGUUGAUAGGUCAGGUGUGGAAGCGCAGUAAUGCGUGUAGCUAACUGAUACUAAUAGGUCGAGCGCUUAAUCUC